AAAUACUCGAAAUUUUCUCAAGUCGUCUGUAGUUGUAAAUUUCCGACAAAAUGAUUCCAUAUAGACCAUUGAUCUAUUUAUUUUAUCUGUUCGGUGUUCUAGAUGGAUCUCCAGCGAAUGACCUUUUUAAAAAGGGGCCGCCUACUGGUACAUUUCCUAAAGCAAAGCUAAAAAAUUGUCCGAGGAAUAUUGAAGAGCAAGCAGACAAAAGGGAAAAAAGUACAAAGGUAUAUUGGACUCUAC